GGAGCUCCAGGAGGUUCCGGGGUGUCCCCGCUGGCUUCCCGCGGCGGGCCUCCUCACCUGUGGGUAGAGAUGCUCCAUGAACUGCUCCCGCGAGACGCCCCGGAGCCGGGGCACCGGAAGGCGCUGCUCCGCCAUGCCGGGCUCAGGUUAGUUUGCACAGGCCUGGGCGGCGGGACGUGUCCGUCACGACCGAUCCUCCCGUAAACACAACCCCAGAAGAAAAGGGCCGCGCAGGGGGACGGACGCCAGAGGGCGGCUGGUUCGAAGCGCGGGGCGGGGAGCCCGAGGCCCGGCUGCCGGGGCGGCGUGUGGCACAGCCGCGAUGGGCGGACCCACCAGAGGUGGCAGCAGCAGGCGGCCUUUGCUCCGCUUCCCCGGCACCGCCGCGCUGGUUUCCCUCCGGCCUCCUUUCGGUACUGCACAGCGAUGCAGAGGUGAAAGGUCACCAACAUGGCGCUGGCCGCCCGUCUCCUGCCUCUGCCCCUGCUUUCUCGGCCGCUGCCCGGCCGGGUCACCCGACUCCGGACUUUCGGUGCCACCGAGGUGAGGCUGCCGCUGACUGGAUUUUGCUGCUUGUGCCGCCGCCGCUGCCUGGGCUCCAGCGCGGUCCCGGUCCCUCGCUGCGCUUGGGCCUGGGCGACCCCGGCGCUGCGUUCCUGGGGCCCCCGGCGGCCCCUGCUCGGCCGGGCAGAACUUCUUCCAGCCCUCGCUUCCUUCCCCGCUGGUCCCAGCCGCAGCUACAGCACCGAGGAGCAGCCCCAGCAACGGCAGAAAACCAGAAUGAUCAUUCUGGGCUUCUCCAGCCCCAUCAACUGGGUCCGGACUCGAAUUUACGCCUUCCUUAUCUGGGCCUAUUUCGACAAGGAGUUCAGUAUCGCUGAGUUCUCUGAGGGGGCGAAGCAGGCUUUUGCUCAUGUAUCUAAGUUGCUGUCACAGUGUAAAUUUGAUCUACUGGAAGAACUUGUAGCCAAAGAGGUGCUGCAGGUAUUAAAAGAAAAGGUCGCUUCACUGUCUGAUAACCAUAAAAGUGCCCUUGCUGCGAACAUAGAUGACAUUGUCUAUACAUCAACAGGGGACAUCUCCAUUUACUAUGAUGAGAAAGUGCCGACAUCCCCAGUGAGACUUUAAGUGGAGCCAGUGUGUUUCAGGUGAAGCUGGGGGACCAGAACGUGGAGACUAAACAACUGCUUAGUGCAAGCUAUGAAUUUCAGAGGGAAUUCACACAAGGAGUAAAGCCUGACUGGACUAUUGCACGGAUUGAACACUCAAAGUUACUAGAAUAAUCUUUUUUGGAAGAAAAUCAGGGUGUGAACUUUUAAUAAUUGCUGUGAAAAACUAAGGAAGAAACGUUUCUGGAUCAUUUGAUUUUCACUUAAUUAAGUCUGUGGAUUACUUUUGUAUUAUUUGGAAAUAUUCCUUGUAGUAUAUCAACAUGAUACAAUAAAGCAUUUUCACAAAUUGAUAGUGUUCUUUAAAGGAGGUCAAAGUAAAACAGAACUACAGCACCGCAUUGGUGUUGUUCUCGUGUUUUGUAUGUGUAUAUAUUAUGAACUAAUUUUAUAGACAUGAAUUAUUGAAACUACUUAUAUAUCGCUAAAUUAACAAUCCAAUUUUCUAUGAGAUUUUAAGUUGCUGCUGCCUGACUUGUUUCCAUCACUGUCUGGAUAAGAAAGACUGGGUAGAACCAUAGCAGUCUGCCCUCUGUAGAACAUCCCUGUUUGUUCCUGUUGACACCAGUGAUGAAUGGAGCCAGCCUAGAUGUCCACCGACACCAGAGUACAUGAAGAAAUGUGGUACAUACAUGCAAUGGGAUUUUAUGUAGCUGUAAAGAAGAAUGAAUUCAUGACAUUUGCAAGAAAAUGAAUGGA